rnacentral:rRNA from 1 species
CUGCNNAAGGAUCAUUAUUGNNUCCAGAGGGAUGUGCUGGCUCUCUUGUGGAGCAAUCGUGCACUCUCUCAAAUCUAACUCUAUUCACCUGUGCACACUUGGUAGGCAAGUAGGAUGGAAACUAUGUUUCCAUCUAUCAUUGCUUAUCGUCUUUUACACACCCUUUUAAAUGCCAUGAAUGUAACUGAAAUAAUAUAUAUAACAACUUUCAACAAUGGAUCUCUUGGUUCUCGCAUCGAUGAAGAACGCAGCGAAUUGCGAUAUGUAAUGUGAAUUGCAGAAUUCAGUGAAUCAUCGAAUCUUUGAACGCAUAUUGCACCCUCUGGUAUUCCGGAGGGUAUGCCUGUUUGAGUGCAUUAUUAUCUCAAAGCUUAGGAAACUUUUGUUACCUUUGCAUUUGGAUGUUGAAGGAUUUGCUGGCUCAUUUGCCAGCUCCUUUUAAAUGCAUUAGCUGGACUUUGCAGGACUAGCUUCAGUUUGAUACACUUUGGUUAUCUGAGCUGUUGUAAGAAUUGCAUCAUGGUCUUGCUUCUCAAAUUGUCCCCUCUUGUGGACUUUGUCCUCUGGACGAAUUAUAAUAUCAAACUUGACCUCAAAUCAGGUAGGACUACCCGCUGAACUUAAGCAUA